rnacentral:rRNA from 1 species
CAGCAGCUUUGUGUCUCUCUCUCUCCGUGUCCGUGUCGCCCAACCCCCGCCGCUACUCGACAAAGAUCCUCCCGUUGGUGGUGGUGGUGGUGGUGGUGGCUAAACGGCUUAUUUUUUUUCUUGUGUGGUGUGGUGUAGCGUCACCAUGAUGUUGUGGUCCGCCUUCGGGGGGGUCGGGAAGGGGUUAAGUAAGGUAAGCAAGGGGUAAGGGGAGGGGGUUAGGGGGAGGGCGGCGGCGCGGCGCGGCGCGGGGCUGGAGGAGACAGAGCCGCGCCCGUAGCCCUAGGCCCCCUAGACCACGCCCAGACUCCCUACCUCCGGUCGCGGCCCGACCAACGCCCGAGCGUGUUGGCGUUGCUCGAGCAGCAGUAGGCGGCGCUGCCCCUCGGUCCCCGCUCCGGCGAGUUCGUCGUCUUGGCGCCCCGCACGGUCUAAACGCCCCUGCUGGAGCCCGAGCCGGGGCCGCCGCUGGGGAAGCAGCGGACGUUGCUCACGCGGAAGGGGCAGACGGCGCUGACGAUGCUCAUGCUCGCGGCGCUCCCGUGCGUCUUGACGGGCGUCACGUUCUGGGCGAUGUUCGCGGAGUUCCCCACGCGCGCGCACGGGCCCCUACUCCUCCUCCUGCCGCGGCUGCUGGACCUCCUGCUCAAGUUGACCUCCCUGUCCCUGCUGAGCGUCAUGCGGCGGCUCAGGUACGAGGUGCGGGUGUACUGGAUGCCGGCGCCGCCGCUGGAGCUGCCGCACGUGGUCGGGAAGGUCGGGUUGGGGUUACAAGGUGAGGAGUGGUUACCGGUCUACCAGCUGCUGUAGGGCGGCCUCGUCGUGCGGGAACAAGGAAGGAAGCAGCCGCCGCCCCCUUUCUCCUAGGUGGGCGAGGGAAUACGACUAAGGUUGGAAGGACACGUUGGCUCUAGGUACCUGGGUAGGUUCCUAUAACCAAGGAUGCCCAUGCCAUCGCAGCGGACCUUCCUCUCCUACCUCUCGACCUUCGUCUUCGUCCUCUCCGACGUAGUCCGGUCUUUACUACCGCCAUUUCUGACCUUGCCCCUACCGCUGCUACGUCUAGACGGUGAGUACCUACUUCGAUCCGUCGGUGACAGGUCUUUCCAAGGGUAAGGAAGUUCGGACUAAUUAGGGAUGUCCUACUAGUAACACUAGGCAAACCACUAACACACAGAGAAGAAGGUGAUAGCACAAUACGUAGGCCACGUACUACGUAAACAAAACACCGAGUAUAGACAGUAUACACUCUAUACCAAACGGUACAGAACCUAAGAACUAGUCAAGGGGUUCACCAAGGGAUAACUCUCCCUCUGAAUGGAACUGGCCAACUGUAACUCCAAGCUGUUCCUUCCGGUCGGUAGAGUUGAGCGGGGUCAACUAAAGAAACAGUCAUGCCAGCUAGGGCGUUUCCUCGGAGGCGACCAGUGUCGUUUGUGAUAGGAUAGAUAGGACCGCCAUCUAAUAGGCCAACUGUUCGAAAGAACGAUACAAAGACUACUACCACGACGGUACGACUGUAAGCUUCCUAACAGACUUUGUAGACUUAAACGUUUCUUUACCCAAGGAAAGACAUUCUUCAUAUCGUAACUCGGAGCACGAGGUCUCACCAUGAAGGUUGUCUUCUAUCUGAUGGACUUUCUGUUCCACCAUGGUUUGAAACAAUCCCUGUCCUCUCGUUACUUCUCUCUCAUACUCCUUAAGUUCUAGUCUUAGUUACGGAACCAACGAUUUCGGGUCUUUCAAGGACUCCUUCCUACCUGGUACGUCCUACCUUGAGGGACCGGACCCUUGUUACAGGCACUAGUGGGACCUUACUAAGUCCAGAAGGAACCAGUUUCACCACCGGAACUACACCUUCCUUUACUCGACGGAGCUAACCAAAUACAGAGUUCUCUUUUUGCCGGUCCGAUAUUGGUAGUGUUCUUCCGACCACGAUACUUACGUAACCAGGCACAGAGACGACACGAUUGCUUACGAGGUAUAUACGAAUUGAACCUAACACUAGUGAUACACUUGUUGUCGUUCCGUCAGUUCCUUCGGUACACAAAGUACUACCUAGGAGACCAUCCUUUCUUUCAAACGAUACACGUCAAGGGUGUUUCUAAGCUGAGGUAACUAGCAGUACUAGCUAUACGAUUGUUCUUACAGCAGAAGAAACUAUAGUUGUACUUUCCAAACCUACCAUAAGUUCCGGGGUAGAUACAACCAUGACCUACACAGAAAUCUUCCGUCCGCGACAUGCCAAUACUACGAGGGUUUUGUUUCUUCGGUGGCAGUUCCUGAACGUUGACGACCGGUUUCACCACACACACGACAAAGACGAAACCAUUGUCCUUCUUGUUCUUCUUCCAAUGGUUCGGUUUCUGUCUCUUCUUCUUCUCCAACAAAAAGUUCUUCCUUCUUUUAGUUAGUGGACGCAUGCGUGAGUCACUUUAACUGCUUCGUCGACGUCCUCGACUUUGAGUCUUCCGACCAUAACAUUUGGUUGUCUUCAAUCUCUUCUUUAAACCGGUCAGACGGUAAAAACAACGUAGGUGCGAAGAACUCUUACCACCUUGGGACUCCACACUAUCAGGUCGAAGAGAAGACUUCCUUCGAUAUGUACAGUAGCCAACACCGAUACUUCUGUUCUGUCUGACCCCUUUUCUCUAACCGACCUAGAUACCCAGUCAAUGUCUCCUAUAGGAUUGACCCAAAUUCUACGUAACGGUACCGACCGCCAGCUAAAUGACGUAUGGAUUUUCCGGACGUAAGUUUCCAAGACGCGGAGAGUUAGAAAGCCUAGCAGAAUUGGUCCAAGAAGCCACCCGAGAACCCAGAUAACUCUAGAAGAAGUCGUUGGUAACGGGAGAAACCAUACCCAUACCACCACCUGACUUUAAAAACCUUUCUAAAAGGAUGUAGUUGAGGUAGCAGAUAGGAACCUGUAGGUAAGGUGAAGACCGGAUGACAUGCAACGGCCGGUAGACGAACAAUUGCCCUUUCAAGUAGUGGGGUCUCGAAUCGUUAGAACGGUCAUAGACCAUGUACAGUGAAAAGUAGACGUAAAAACGAUGCCCAUAAGACCUUUACUCUACCCGAGCACAGCGCCAACUGCUAACCACCUCCUUACUCGUCAAGACCCAGUAACCUCUACUACUCCUCAAGAGCCUUGACAUGUGGAAGUUUACCUGUUGGAACGACUAUGGGGGCUGGUGGAACGAGGACGACUUGAAGUAGCCCCACCAACGGCCGUAGAGGUUGCGCUAGUUGUUGCCUAUACUCAGUACCCCCGGAGAGAAGCCCUUCGAGAAGAAGCGUAAGACCCAAUAACAGGUAGAAAUGGGCAAGGAGUUCCCAGAAGAACCUUCCGUCUUGUCCUGGGGCUGCUAGCAGUAGCAGACCAGGUAGGACAACCGAAGCUAGUAGAGCGAGGACACCCACGCACACUUGGGAAAGGAGCGGUUCUGGCUGCCGGGAGAAGACCUCCUCACGCCAGACCUGACGUGGAUCCUCUACUUUCCUACCUAGUUGUAGUCAGUAGUACACCUCAUUAAAACUUCCACAAAAACACGGGUAUUAAAAAAAGAGAAGGUAAGGAGGUAGGGGACACAUCUAUCUUUUGUUUGUACGUUGUUCACAAUUCAAUAACCAAAACAAGGUACCACCCAUCGACCCGGAGUAUAUACGUUUUAUAAACCCGUCUGCCCUCCGACGCCGUUGGGAAGAAGUGGAGACACGUCAAGCCGGUGCUUCUUCUUUCUUAUGUCCGUCGUUCAGUCAGUCAGUCAGUCAGUCAAGGUCACAACAAAGUAACAGGUCGGUCGGUCGCUAAGAAAUAAACAACUGGAACUAAACUUACCUCUCCUAUUUUACAUACAUUCACUCGGCUUUGACUCUCGACAGCAGACAUUACGAUACGGGCUUCCUACAUAAUAAUACAUACAUGUUUGACUUUUGUUGAACAUAAAAGAGAGACAUUCCGUUCUUACGGCAAACAUUAUCUCCUUCGACGUGUAAUAAAUAGAUCGAACAAACCUUUCGAAG